AACGUAGGAGACAAAGCGUUAUCCGGUAGUUGAUUGGGCGUAAAGGGCGCGUAGGCGGCUAAGUAAGUCUCGGGUGAAAUCCCUCGGCUCAACCGAGGAACUGCCUUGGAAACUGCUUGGCUUGAGGACUGGAGAGGAGACUGGAAUUCAUGGUGUAGCAGUGAAAUGCGUAGAGAUCAUGAGGAAGACCAGUGGCGAAGGCGGGUCUCUGGACAGUUCCUGACACUGAGGCAACGAAGGGUCAGGGGAGCAAACGGG
rnacentral:rRNA from 1 species